CCUACGGGUGGCAGCAGUGGGGAAUAUUGGACAAUGGGGGGAACCCUGAUCCAGCGACGCCGCGUGAGUGAAGAAGUAUUUCGGUAUGUAAAGCUCUAUCAGCAGGGAAGAAAGAAAUGACGGUACCUGACUAAGAAGCCCCGGCUAACUACGUGCCAGCAGCCGCGGUAAUACGUAGGGGGCAAGCGUUAUCCGGAUUUACUGGGUGUAAAGGGAGCGUAGACGGCGAUGCAAGUCUGAAGUGAAAGGCGGGGGCUCAACCCCCGGACUGCUUUGGAAACUGUAUGGCUGGAGUGCAGGAGAGGUAAGUGGAAUUCCUAGUGUAGCGGUGAAAUGCGUAGAUAUUAGGAGGAACACCAGUGGCGAAGGCGGCUUACUGGACUGUAACUGACGUUGAGGCUCGAAAGCGUGGGGAGCAAACAGGAUUAGAUACCCCUGUAGUC
rnacentral:rRNA from 1 species